GGAGAGUGACUAUCAUUCUAGCCCUGACCUGAUGGCUCCAGGGGAGGUGGUCGUGGAUGUUUACAGAAUGGCUUUCAUGGGAUGCUUCUUUAUCCUGAUGGAUGGCCUAAUACCUAAGUGUCUAACCCUUGAUCAGGUGUUUCUCUCACAGGAAACUUGCUUCUACUAGCAGGUGCCCUUAAAGCUCUUGGCUGGCCUGUGUUCAGUUUAUUCCAACCAAGAUAGCCACCCUCUAGGAGGGCCCUGAGCAGGAGGAGAGUUGUGCUCGGGUGUGCCCCUCAGGUGAGACGCAAAGAAGGCCACACAACAAAACACAUGAAAUAACCCAAGUGGUGUAUUAUUUAACAGAUCCAGAGAGAAGAUGGCAGCACACUUUGCAGGGCUAAUUUGAAGGGGAGAACCCGGACGACGGCUCAACCAGCAGGUCUCCAUUCACCAGGCUCCUAAUUGGUUCCUUUAGUCCUUCCACUGAAUGAAGUUCCACCUCUGAACUCCAGCCAUCUUGUGACUAUGUAUAUGUUAUCAUGGAAAAUGUCUUGUGAAACUACACAUAUAGAGUUCAGCUUGAAACUCUAAGGUUGAUUGCAUUUUUUUUGGCUCAAGCCACCACUGCUGGAUAAAUGAAAUUCUAGGUACCAGAAUGUGAAAUGCCUAACAGCUUCUGUGUACACAUGUGUUUUUCUCUUUUAAUUGAUAUCCUGGCUUUAGACCAACUUCAGAUUUACAUCUACUGGACAAAUAAUCCUGAUGCUCUCAUUUUCUUUAUCCUCAGUCCUGGAGAGGGGUGAGGACGGGAGAAGAGUAGGUAGGAGAGAGGCUUUUUUGAACUUUUAGCUUACCCCCUCCUAAACCCUUCUGCUCCAUCCCAGUACUGUCCAAGCAAGCUUGAUUAUGGUAUCUUCAUACUAGCUUUCUAAAACCUCCAGAACAUAGAAGAGGCAGAAUAGCAUAAUGAUAUUCACUCUGGAGCCAAAGGUCUCUGACUCUGAGACUUUGAAAAUUAUUCAUUCUCAUUCUGUGUAAAAAGGUUCUUAGUAAAAAUCCUGCUGAUAAACAAAACUGUUGGAAGCCUGGAAGAACAGUCUUCUCUUUCAUAUUGAACAACCCACUAAAAUGCGUUUUUAAUUUUUUCAUUGUAAAUAUUUCAUUUCUGUUUAGUGGUCUCAGAUUUUCCAUAUUCUGACCAAAAUUAUCAAAUUCUUCAAUGGCAGGCAAUUCUACACUCCUAUAUCUUGUAUUUAGAUAUUUUAAAAAUUAUUAUGUAUUUCUAUAAUAAUAAUGGUAACUAUUAUUAUAACUUUUUAUUCUGCUUUGUACAAUGCCUGACAGGAAGGUAUUCAAUGACUACUGAUUGACUGAUUAAAUAUAAGCAUAAAUUAAUUAACUGGUUAAUCCACUGUGGAUUCACUGAUUCUAUAGUCAAUGUCUAAUCUCAAUCUAAUGAUCAUCGAAUUAUAUCUCAACCUAUCUCAGUCUAAAGAUGUUGAUCAUAGUUUCUGUCCCUAAAACUUCCAAAUCUGCCUGGAAGCAUUGGUGACUCCUAAUGAGCCUCUUUUUUAAAUUAUAUAAGUAAGAAAUGGCACAGGUUUCAGAACAAAUCAUCCACCAACCACAAUGAAUGGAAAUAAAGAGAAAAUCAGAUUUGAGUUGUUAUGCUUCUGAUUGAAAAAUCAGUAACAGAGGAAAGCUUAGUGUUUUAUGGGAGCACAGAAGUGCAUUGAAUUUUGUAUAGGCAUGCUAUCAGAGAAGCAGAGGUAGGUCAUGAAAUGAACUGCAAAUGAUAAGAGUUUCGCCAGUCAAAGGGAAGCACAUUCCAGGCGAAAGAAAUAGCAAGUAUAAACAAUGAAUUUGUAAAAUUUACAGAAUUAUUCUCCUAACCAGUGACACAAUUCUUCUUCGACUUUGUAAACUUUUGUAGAAUGCUUUGCUAAAAUUUCUUAAAGUUAUAUUUCAUUCACUGGCAUUUAAAAAGUACUUUUAUUAAUUAAUCUAUGUCACUUUUUCAAUAAUAAGAGUAGAUAUUUUCUCCUAGAAAUGUUGCCAGUAUCCUGCUGAGUUUAGCCACCUGUCGCCCUCUUUCUCCCUGUGUUGAAUUACACAUGCCUGUGAAAUGCCCAACUGUGAUUUUGCCCUAAUGAGAGGAAAUCCAUAGAAAAUUUACUCAAAUAAACUAACUUUACAAAACUAUGGGAGAUAAUUAGGUACAGGUCCAUUUUCACAGGCUUCGUGAAUCAUAUUGGAAAUGAAAAGGAGUGAAAGGGCCAAGAAUCAAUUUUGGAACUUUUUGGUAUUUGAAGUCUAGGAUGGGGGAGCGAUUGGGAGUUAGGACCAGAGUAUAUACUGGACUUGGGAACUCUGGGGUGUCAGAGGUCAGCUGGCGCUUCAUUUGCACCCAGCAUCCAUGUUCCCUGGGGGAAAAAUGUCAGGUGAGUUGGGGUUCACUGUCAGACUCUCAGAGCACCAAAAGUAAGACUUUUGAACACUUUAAAUUC
rnacentral:lncRNA from 1 species